CUGCACAUUAUAUUUCAUUCUUCUUCCUCAUCGGUUCCAUGGCCAAUCUAUCACCUAAAAAUUAUACUACAGUAGUGGGUCCCAAGCACGCUUUUUCAACAGCCAGAUGGAAAGGCAGAAAGGCACCUGGAUCUAGUAAAAUGAAAAGGAAGUUCAACCACUCACUGAUGAAGAAGCAGGGUCAAGAAGGUUAAGAUUUUUCCUAGGACAUUGUCGGAUCAUAGCCCUGUGUGGUUGGAGUUAUUUGUGGAAGAGGGGACUGGAAGAUCCUGGAGACUGAAUGAGAAUUUGUUCACUCGGGAGGAGUUUGUACAAAAAUGUAAAGAACAUUUGAAGGAAUUUUUUGUUUUAAAUAUGAAUAAGGGAACAUCAAUGCCUAUGGUGUGGGAUGCUAGUAAAGCUUAUAUGCAGGGAAUUUUGAUUCACAUGAAUAAUGUAUUUAGGGGUAACUUGACACGAAAAUGUAAAGAAUUAGAAGAAGAGAUUAAAUUAAAAGAAGAAGCCUUUGCUUUGAAUCUGAUGGAUAAUAGGUUAAAGGCUGCUAUAAAUACACUUAGGGCACAAUUUAAUAUGUUGAUGGCAGAUCAGGUGGCGACAAAUUUCGUUAUAUGAAACAUAAUACUUUUUGUAAUGCAAAUAAGCCUGGGAAGUGGUUAGCUUAUCAA